CCAAGUAGAUCUCACAAUAUCAUUAGUAAAUAGAAAACCCAGGUCCGUAGCUACGUCAUCACUUCGGAAUGUACCGAGGAUACCUGAGCUAUGGCGAAGGGGUAAUUUGCACGAUGGGCGUUGCCUAUUUUGUGCUGAUUGUAUUUAAACAACGAAAAAGCAAAUUUUUGGCACGCACUCGAGCUCGAACCAUUCGAGCUUCUAUACGUACUUGCGACCAGCAACAUUCUCUACCGUCUUCUUACCAGCUACCGCAGCCGACGAACACAACAACCGACAGUUAUCACUGCCUAUAUAGCGACGACAUAUUAAACCAGGUGGUUUAAUAUUCAUCAAUAUCUACAAGUUUUCAACAAUUGCCCAGCCGUUUUUUAGGUCACCGUGAUCCCGUUCCCGAAUAAAAGCAAUUCAAAGUUGGGUGUCAAACUUCAGACGAGCAGAUUUUGCAUUAAAAAAGAAAACCUACCGGUCGACCUAGGAUUGCAACAAAACCGGACAAUGUGGUAUCUGUGAGAACUUCGAUUAAACAAUGUUCACGCCCCUCUGCAAGGAAACACGCGGCUCCCCUGAUCAAAGUUUUCGGAGAAUUCGGUACCGAAACUUCAAAAUGCACCCUGCAAAGUUGUAUUUACACAUGAACUGUUUGAAUGAGAUUGGGAAACUCGUACAACUUUGUGUCAAUAACUUCGGGACAUUCCCCUUACUGAAGUUGUUCUCUUUACGGACGAGGCACAUUUACAUCCCUCAAGCGCAGUGAAUAAACAAAAUUCCGUUACUAGUUUGAAAAUAAUCCUCGGAAAAUCCAUCAACGACUACUCCACAUUCCUGGGGUUACAGUGCGGUGUAUGUUUUUAGUUAGAUGUGGUGGGGUCCGUAAUUUUUUUAAGAGGAUCAUGUUACUGCAACGAUGACCUCUCUAAUUGGUAUUGCGCAAUGCUACAUAAUUUUCUCUAGUCUAGAUUCGGUAAUCUUUUCGGUGACAUGGGUAACUACAUGUGUGGUUUCAACAGGAUGGUGCAACAGCGCACACAUUCUGUUAUUUACCCAGCAUUAUAUAAGAAAUGUUUUCUGGACAUGUUGUCUCUUUACCUGGUAACAUCGGGUGGGUACCGCGCUCACCAGAUUCGACAGAGAGUAUUCUGAGAAAUGGAACAUUAAACUCAGCAUCUCAUUGAUCUCACUCCCCGCCACGUAUCAAUUUAAUCUGUAGAUGCAACUUCCUGUUUUUUAAUGGUCCAUACGACAAACAGAACAAUGCGUCGCCGGUGGAGAUCCUGUGGAGGUUAUCGUACCCUUAAUGCACGUACACUUCCCAAUCUCUACCCUGUCUGCAACUCCCAGGGCAUUUCGCAUGCCGUUUUCGGCAGUAAAAACUUUAUCGUAAUCGAUUGUACUAUAGUUUUCAUGCAUAUUCCAUUGCCAUAACUCGUUCUGAUUUAUUUGAAUUUUCUUUUGGUCUCCAAAAUAGAUUCCUGACCCUCAAAAAACAUUUUCUUGUUCGUGUCACUCUCCUUUUAUUGUAAGUUUAAAUGUGUCAAUGACUUGAGUGGCCAAUUAAUUCACAACAUGGUUCAAAGAAAUCGCUCCCAAUCAUUUCCAAAAAACUGGCUCAUUUCAAUACAAGAAAAGCGUGUAAUACCGAAAACUCCUCGCUAUGUAUCAUGUAGCUAAAUAUUUCUAACGUUAGAAAUUCGGAAAUUAAUCAUAUUUACCACUCUCACUGUAAAAAUCACACGGUUAGGCAGCUUAAUAAAUCCGGAAUUUAUUUCUCGUUACUACCGACGUUCGUCACCUCAUUACAUGUCACGAAGUUGUAGAUUGCCUUUCACAGGUGGAUUUUAUUUCUACCGCAACGUAACUUGACUUUACUGCAUUUUGCUGCUUGCAGUACGCUGGUUCCAAAUUCUAUACUUGCUUUCUCGUCAAGUUGUAGUGCGACACUUCCUUUGACACUCUCAGUCUUUACAACAACAUUCAUUUGGUGCAUCUUUGAUAGGAUUCACUCGGAUAGACACAUGAGUUAUGGUGUCGCCUCCUAACCACAAACUGUUAGAAUACAACGAUUUCAUAAUAUGUAAUGUAAGUUCGUAGAUUAAUAAAUCAAGUAUUUUAUGUUGCUUAUUGUUAGAUUAAGAAAACAAGCCGUGAUUUGUAUUAACCAAAGUUUAUGUUUCGUCUAGUUCAAAUCCUGUUCGGAAAGUAGUUGUAAGAAAGACGUUGUAAAAGAAAGAUUGUCAGUAAAAGAACAUUG